UAUUUAUUAGAUAAAAAACCAAUGCCCUUCGGGGCUCCUUGGUGAAUCAUAAUAACUUAACGAAUCGCAUGGCCUUGCGCCGGCGAUGGUUCAUUCAAAUUUCUGCCCUAUCAACUUUCGAUGGUAGGAUAGUGGCCUACCAUGGUAUCAACGGGUAACGGGGAAUUAGGGUUCGACUCCGGAGAGGGAGCCUGAGAAACGGCUACCACAUCCAAGGAAGGSAGCRGGCGCGCAAAUUACCCAAUCCCGACACGGGGAGGUAGUGACAAUAAAUACUGAUACAGGGCUCUUUUGGGUCUUGUAAUUGGAAUGAGUACAAUUUAAAUCCCUUAACGAGGAACAAUUGGAGGGCAAGUCUGGUGCCAGCAGCCGCGGUAAUUCCAGCUCCAAUAGCGUAUAUUAAAGUUGUUGCAGUUAAAAAGCUCGUAGUUGAACCUUGGGCCUGGCUGGCCGGUCCGCCUCACCGCGUGUACUGGUCCGGCCGGGCCUUUCCUUCUGGGGAACCUCAUGCCCUUCACUGGGCGUGUUGGGGAACCAGGACUUUUACUUUGAAAAAAUUAGAGUGUUCARAGCAGG
rnacentral:rRNA from 1 species